CAAUAGCGUAUAUUAAAGUUGUUGCAGUUAAAAAGCUCGUAGUUGGAUUUCUGAAUCGAAUAUCCGGUCCGCUCGUCUCUGAUGAGUGCGUACUUAUGGAUAUUGGAUUCAUUUUUUGUGAGGACAUUUAUCUGUCAUUAAGUUGAUGGAUUUAUAGACUUGCAUCGUUUACUGUGAAAAAAUUAGAGUGUUUAAAGCAGGCGUUCGCCCAUUUGAAUACAUUAGCAUGGAAUAAUAAGAUAUGACUUUGGUGGUCUAUUUUGUUGGUUUGCACACCAGAGUAAUGAUUAAUAGGGACAGUUGGGGGUAUUCAUAUUUCAACGUCAGAGGUGAAAUUCUUAGAUCGUUGAAAGAUGACCUUAGGCGAAAGCAUUUACCAUGGAUGUUUUCAUUAA
rnacentral:rRNA from 1 species